AGUGAACGCUGGCGGUAGGCCUAACACAUGCAAGUCGAACGGCAGCACAGUAAGAGCUUGCUCUUACGGGUGGCGAGUGGCGGACGGGUGAGGAAUACAUCGGAAUCUACUUUUUCGUGGGGGAUAACGUAGGGAAACUUACGCUAAUACCGCAUACGACCUACGGGUGAAAGCAGGGGAUCUUCGGACCUUGCGCGAUUGAAUGAGCCGAUGUCGGACUAGCUAGUUGGCGGGGUAAAGGCCCACCAAGGCGACGAUCCGUAGCUGGUCUGAGAGGAUGAUCAGCCACACUGGAACUGAGACACGGUCCAGACUCCUACGGGAGGCAGCAGUGGGGAAUAUUGGACAAUGGGCGCAAGCCUGAUCCAGCCAUACCGCGUGGGUGAAGAAGGCCUUCGGGUUGUAAAGCCCUUUUGUUGGGAAAGAAAAGCAGCAGGUUAAUACCCCGCUGUUCUGACGGUACCCAAAGAACAAGCACCGGCUAACUUCGUG
rnacentral:rRNA from 1 species